rnacentral:rRNA from 1 species
GGCGGCGUGCNUAAUACAUGCAAGUCGAGCGGAGCGGAUGGAGUGCUUGCACUCNUGAUNNUUNGCGGCGGACGGGUGAGUAAUACGUAGGUAACCUGCCCUUAAGACCNGGAUAACUCACGGAAACGUGGGNUAAUACCGGAUAGGCGAUUUCCUCGCAUGAGGGAGUCGGGAAAGGCGGUUCCGAUUUAUCGGGNCUGCCACUUAUGGAUGGACCUACGGCGCAUUAGCUAGUUGGUGGGGUAACGGCUCACCAAGGCGACGAUGCGUAGCCGACCUGAGAGGGUGAUCGGCCACACUGGGACUGAGACACGGCCCAGACUCCUACGGGAGGCAGCAGUAGGGAAUCUUCCGCAAUGGACGCAAGUCUGACGGAGCAACGCCGCGUGAGUGAUGAAGGUUUUCGGAUCGUAAAGCUCUGUUGCCAGGGAAGAACGCUAUGGAGAGUAACUGUUCCAUAGGUGACGGUACCUGAGAAGAAAGCCCCGGCUAACUACGUGCCAGCAGCCGCGGUAAUACGUAGGGGGCNAGCGUUGUCCGGAAUUAUUGGGCGUAAAGCGCGCGCAGGCGGUCAUGUAAGUCUGGUGUUUAAACCCGGGGCUCAACUCCGGGUCGCAUCGGAAACUGUGUGACUUGAGUGCAGAAGAGGAAAGUGGAAUUCCACGUGUAGCGGUGAAAUGCGUAGAGAUGUGGAGGAACACCAGUGGC